CCUACGGGAGACAGCAGUGGGGAAUAUUGGGCAAUGGGCGCAACCCUGACCCAGCAACGCCGCGUGAAGGACGAAGGCUUUCGGGUUGUAAACUUCUUUUGUCAGGGACGAAGCAAGUGACGGUACCUGACGAAUAAGCCACGGCUAACUACGUGCCAGCAGCCGCAGGAAUACGUAGGUGGCAAGCGUUAGCCGGAUUUACUGGGUGUAAAGGGCGUGUAGGCGGGACUGCAAGUCAGAUGGGAAAACCACGGGCUCAACCUGUGGCCUGCAUUUGAAACUGUAGUUCUUGAGUACUGGAGAGGCAGACGGAAUUCCUAGUGUAGCGGUGAAAUGCGUAGAUAUUAGGAGGAACACCAGUGGCGAAGGCGGUCUGCUGGACAGCAACUGACGCUGAGGCGCGAAAGCGUGGGGAGCAAACAGGAUUAGAUACCCUUGUAGUC
rnacentral:rRNA from 1 species